GCCUACGCGAAGCAGGUGCUGCUCGCCUGCAACGGCGGCGGCGACGCCGUCUCGCGGGGGGUCGCCGUUGGCCUCGCCAGGCACGGCUGCAGGCUGGUCCUGGUGGGCGACGAGGGCGCCCUGGCCGCGACGGCGGAGGAGGCGCGGCGCAGCGCGGCCCAAGGGGCGGCGGCCAUCGCGGUGGUUGGGCUGGACUUGGCGGCCUGCGACGAGGCAGCCGUCGGCGCCGCGGUGGACGCGGCGUGGCGCUGCUUCGGGGACGGCGGGCUCCACGCCCUUGUCAACUGCUGCUCCUUCGAGGGGGAAGUGCAAGAUUGCCUCAGCGUGACUGAAGAUGAGUACAACAAGACCAUGAAAGUCAAUGUAAUCACACCUUGGCUCCUGAUAAAGGCGAUAGCGAAGCGGUUCCGGGAUGCGCAGUCGGGCGGCUCCGUGGUUUGCUUGACCCAGAUCAUCGGCGCCGAGAGAGGAUUGUAUCCGGGGGCUGCGGCAUACGGCACAAGUUUAGGCGCCGUUCACCAGCUUGUCAGACUGUCGGCGAUGGAGCUCGGCAAGCACAAGAUCAGGGUGAACGCCGUCUGCCGCGGCCUCCACCUGGGGGACAAGUUCCCUCUCUCUGUUGGGGAGGAGAAGGCCGAGAAGGCGACCGGGGAGGUGAUGCCGCUGCGGCGGUGGCUGGACCCAGACAAGGACCUCGCUUCCACGGUGCUGUACCUGGUCGGCGACGACUCCCGCUUCAUGACAGGCACCACCAUCUAUGUCGACGGCGCACAGUCCAUUGUGCGCCCUCGCAUGCGUUCCUUCCUGUAG
rnacentral:rRNA from 1 species